rnacentral:misc_RNA from 1 species
UCCGAGUUGACCCCGGCGGUCUCCUGUGAGUCCCCAUCACCCCGAAGGGCAUGCUGGCAACACAGGACAAGGGUUGCGCUCGUUGCGGGACUUAACCCAACAUCUCACGACACGAGCUGACGACAGCCAUGCACCACCUGUCACCCAGUCCGAAGAGGCUCCCAUCUCUGAGGGUUUCUGGGUGAUGUCAAACCCAGGUAAGGUUCUUCGCGUUGCAUCGAAUUAAACCACAUACUCCACCGCUUGUGCGGGCCCCCGUCAAUUCCUUUGAGUUUCAGUCUUGCGACCGUACUUCCCAGGCGGCGAACUUAACGCGUUAGCUUCGAUACUGAAGGCUCAAUUGCCCCCAACAUCCAGUUCGCAUCGUUUAGGGCGUGGACUAC